rnacentral:sRNA from 1 species
GUUGUCCUUGCUCUUGUACUGACAACUUUGUUUGCUCCAUA